AUUGAACGCUGGCGGCGUGCUUAACACAUGCAAGUCGAACGCGAACGGGGCUUCGGCCCCAAGUAGAGUGGCGCACGGGUGAGUAACGCGUGGACAAUCUGCCCUUAUGACUGGAAUAACAGUUGGAAACGGCUGCUAAUACCGGAUACGCUCAGGAAGAACUUUUUUGAGGAAAGGCGGCCUCUGCUUGCAAGCUGUCGCAUAAGGAUGAGUCCGCGUCCCAUUAGCUAGUUGGCGGGUAACGGCCCACCAAGGCAACGAUGGGUAGCCGAUUUGAGAGGAUGAUCGGCCACACUGGGACUGAAACACGGCCCAGACUUCUACGGGAGGCAGCAGUGGGGAAUAUUGCGCAAUGGGCGAAAGCCUGACGCAGCGACGCCGCGUGAGGGAUGAAGGUUUUCGGGAAUCGUAAACCUCUGUCAGAAGGGAAGAAACUGCCGUGCUCUAAUCAUCAUGGCAUUGACGGUACCUUCAAAGGAAGCACCGGCUAACUCCGUGCCAGCAGCAGC
rnacentral:rRNA from 1 species